GACUCGGUGGUGGAAGGAAUCACACCCACACAAGGUAGUCGGGGUAGCGCUGUUAAGCUGUGGGAGUCCCCUGUUCGAACCAGGGCUGGGUCA